UGACCGNGCGARGGNAGCAUARUCACUUGUCUUUUAAGUAGAGACUAGAAUGAAUGGCUACACGAGGUUCUAUCUGUCUCUUACAAACAAUCAGUGAAAUUGAUCUCCUCGUGCAAWRGCGAGAAUMCCCACAUAAGACGAGAAGACCCUGUGGAACUUCAAGUMUUAACCAACAUACUUCAAAGACCCACCCGCCUGURGGGAAAGGAAAUAAACACAGUWUCCCAUGGUUAUCACUUGGGGUKGGGGCGACCUCGGAGAAAACACUCCUCCGAAARGAGUACAUCUCAUACCUAGAUUACACCUCARGUGCUUUAAAGCAAAACGAUCCAAUWUAUUUGRUCAACGAACAAAGCUACCCCAGGGAUAACAGCGCAAUCCCUUCUCAAAGUCCCUAUUANUGAUGGGGGUUUACGACCUCGAUGUUGG
rnacentral:rRNA from 1 species